rnacentral:rRNA from 1 species
GGAGUGCUACUAUGCGAGUCGANCGCGAAAGCGGGCUAUCGGCCCUGAGUAGAGUGGCGAACGGGUGAGUAACACGUGGGUGAUCUACCUCUGAGUGGGGGAUAACGUUCCGAAAGGAGCGCUAAUACCGCAUGACGUUCCGGGUUUGAAGACCUGGAAACCAAAGUCGGGGACCGCAAGGCCUGGCGCUUGGAGAGGAGCCCGCGCCUGAUUAGCUAGUUGGUGAGGUAAUGGCUCACCAAGGCGACGAUCAGUAGCCGGCCUGAGAGGGCGGACGGCCACACUGGGACUGAGACACGGCCCAGACUCCUACGGGAGGCAGCAGUGGGGAAUUGUUCGCAAUGGGCGCAAGCCUGACGACGCAACGCCGCGUGGAGGAUGAAGGUCUUCGGAUUGUAAACUCCUGUUGACCGGGAAGAAUGGGCCCCGACCUAAUACGUCGGGGCAGUGACGGUACCGGUUGAGGAAGCCACGGCUAACUCUGUGCCAGCAGCCGCGGUAAUACAGAGGUGGCAAGCGUUGUUCGGAAUUACUGGGCGUAAAGGGCGCGUAGGCGGCCUUCUAAGUCGGACGUGAAAUCCCCAGGCUUAACUUGGGAACUGCGUCUGAUACUGGAAGGCUUGAGUGCGGGAGAGGGAUGUGGAAUUCCAGGUGUAGCGGUGAAAUGCGUAGAUAUCUGGAGGAACACCGGUGGCGAAGGCGGCAUCCUGGACCGACACUGACCCUGAGGCGCGAAAGCCAGGGGAGCAAACGGGAUUAGAUACCCCGGUAGUCCUGGCCCUAAACGAUGAGUGCCUGGUGCGGGCGGGUAUCGAUCCCUGCCGUGCCGAAGCUAACUCAUUAUGCACUCCGCCCUGGGGAGUACGGGCGCAAGGUUG